UUUUAAAUAGUUUAAAUAAAACAUAAUAUUGAAGAUAUUAAAAAGAUAAUAUAUCUUUAAAAU
rnacentral:tRNA from 1 species